CCUAAGAAUGCCGAAAGAUGGGUUUCCACUUCUGGUUGGUUUCUAACCUCAUGACUUUGCCAUUGGAAAGGAUACUUCACUUGAUUUUGAGCAUUUUAAAUUCAUGGAGAUUUAAGACUGUGGAAGUGAGUUGCUCUGGAUCUGGCAGUAUGAGAAACUUUGUUGGGUUGUUGAAGUGACACAUCAGUAAGAGCUUGACUCACUACAUGGUGGAGCUGCCACACCAGCCUUGGAUGCUCUGCCUAAUUGCUCGUCUCUGCUGCCUUCAGUCUCAGCCAUAAAACCUCAAAUUAUAGGUACAAAGAUUGGCAAAUGGAAAGGAGAAAAGGACUCAGAUUCAUAAACAAUAUGAAACCAUCAAAAAUACAGGAUGAUCCUGAGCCUAACAUACAGUCAAGGAGGGAAUGAGGAAAGAUUUC